UGGGGUGUAGCCAAGCGGUAAGGUCCGGGUCUCUGACUCCCGUAUGCCUAGGUUCGAAUCCUAGCACCCCAGCCA
rnacentral:tRNA from 1 species